rnacentral:lncRNA from 1 species
ACAAAAGAAAUAAUAAAAAACUUAAAGAAGUUGAAAGAAAAUCCACAAUAAACCUUAAAAGAAUCCUUAAGAAGGCGUAAAAAAAAUUAGAAUAAUCACAAAUAUAUAUUAAAUAAAUUUCAAUCGAGUUCUAAUUUAAUACUAAAUCAAAUCUUAGAUUAAUGGACUUCAAUCAAAUCCUAUACAAAUCCUAAAUCCUAAAUCAAACCAUAAAUCAAAUCCUAGACAAAUCCUAAAUUCUAAACCAAAUCUUAAAUCAAACCCUAAAAAAAAUCCUAAAUCCUAAAUCAAACCCUAGAUUAAACCUUAGAUCCUGAAUCAAAUCCUAGAUCAAAUCCUAAAUCAAAUCCUAAAUCCUAAACUAAAUCCUAAACUAAACUCUAGAUAAUUUAAGACCUCAAUAUCUAUCAACUAAAC